rnacentral:rRNA from 1 species
UACAGAGGUCCCAAGCGUUGUUCGGAUUCACUGGGCGUAAAGGGUGCGUAGGUGGCCAGGUAAGUUUGGUGUGAAAGCUCGGAGCUUAACUCCGAAAAGUCAUUGAAUACUAUCUGGCUGGAGGGUCGGAGGGGAGACUGGAAUUCUCGGUGUAGCAGUGAAAUGCGUAGAUAUCGAGAGGAACACCAGUGGCGAAGGCGACUCACUGGCCCGUUACUGACGCUGAGGCGCGAAAGCGUGGGGAGCAAACAGG